rnacentral:rRNA from 1 species
CCCUUAGAUGCUCUGGGCCGCACGCGCGCUACACUGGUCGAUGCAACGAGUUUCUUUCCUUGGCCGACAGGCCUGGGCAAUCUUUGAACAUCGAUCGUGAUCGGGAUAGAUUCUUGUAAUUUUUGAUCUUAAACGAGGAAUUCCUAGUAAACGCAAGUCAUCGGCUUGCAUUGAUUACGUCCCUGCCCUUUGUACACACCGCCCGUCGCACCUACCGAUUGAAUGGUCCGGUGAAAUCUCCGGACUGGCGUGAGUCGGAGCAAUCUGACAAACACCGGAAAGUUGAUUAAACCUUACCAUUUAGAGGAAGGUGAAGUCGUAACA